rnacentral:rRNA from 1 species
AUUGAACGCUGGCGGCAGGCUUAACACAUGCAAGUCGAGCGGAGAUGAGGUGCUUGCACCUUAUCUUAGCGGCGGACGGGUGAGUAAUGCUUAGGAAUCUGCCUAUUAGUGGGGGACAACAUUCCGAAAGGAAUGCUAAUACCGCAUACGUCCUACGGGAGAAAGCAGGGGAUCUUCGGACCUUGCGCUAAUAGAUGAGCCUAAGUCGGAUUAGCUAGUUGGUGGGGUAAAGGCCUACCAAGGCGACGAUCGGUAGCGGGUCUGAGAGGAUGAUCCGCCACACUGGGACUGGAACACGGCCCAGACUCCUACGGGAGGCAGCAGUGGGGAAUAUUGGACAAUGGGGGGAACCCUGAUCCAGCCAUGCCGCGUGUGUGAAGAAGGCCUUAUGGUUGUAAAGCACUUUAAGCGAGGAGGAGGCUACUGAGACUAAUACUCUUGGAUAGUGGACGAUACUCGCAGAAUAAGCACCGGCUAACUCUGUGCCAGCCGCCGCAGUAAGAC